rnacentral:rRNA from 1 species
CAGUCGCCACGGUAAUACGUAUGGGGCAAGCGUUAUCCGGAUUUACUGGGCGUAAAGGGAGCGUAGGCGGCAGGGCAAGUCAGAUGUGAAAGACCGGGGCUCAACUUCGGGGUUGCAUUUGAAACUGUCCGGCUAGAGUGUCGGAGAGGUAAGCGGAAUUCCUAGUGUAGUGGUGAAAUGCGUAGAUAUUAGGAGGAACAUCGGUGGCGAAGGCGGCUUACUGGACGAUAACUGACGCUGAGGCUCGAAAGCGUGGGGAGCAAACAGGAUUAGAUACCCCCGUAGUCCCUGUCUCUUAUAC